rnacentral:rRNA from 1 species
CCUACGGGUGGCAGCAGUGAGGAAUAUUGGUCAAUGGCCGAGAGUCUGAACCAGCCAAGUAGCGUGAAGGAUGACUGCCCUAUGGGUUGUAAACUUCUUUUAUCUGGGAAUACAACGCUCCACGUGUCGGAUUUUGUAUGUACCAUAUGAAUAAGGAUCGGCUAACUCCGUGCCAGCAGCCGCGGUAAUACGGAGGAUCCGAGCGUUAUCCGGAUUUAUUGGGUUUAAAGGGAGCGUAGGUGGAUUGUUAAGUCAGUUGUGAAAGUGUGCGGCUAAACCGUAAAAUUGCAGUUGAAACUGGCAGUCUUGAGUACAGUAGAGGUGGGCGGAAUUCGUGGUGUAGCGGGGAAAUGCUUAGAUAUCACGAAGAACUCCGAUUGCGAAGGCAGGUCACUGGACUGCAACUGACACUGAGGCUCGAAAGUGUGGGUAUCAAACAGGAUUAGAUACCCGAGUAGUC